rnacentral:rRNA from 1 species
UUGCCAGCCGCCGCGGUUAUACGAGAGGCCCAAGUUGACAGCCCCCGGCGUAAAGCGUGGUUAAGGCAUACUUUAAAACUAAAGCCGAAUAUCUUCAGAGCAGUUAUACGCAUCCGAAGACACGAAGCCCCACCACGAAAGUGGCUUUAUGACACCUGAUCCCACGAAAGCUAGGACACAAACUGGGAUUAGAUACCCCACUAUGCCUAGCCGUAAACAUUGAUAGAACUAUACACCCUCUAUCCGCCUGGGUACUACGAGCAUUAGCUUAAAACCCAACGACUUGGCGG